AUGCCAGCAACAAGGAGGCGAUGGUGGUGGUCAGCGGCAGGAGAUGGUCGGCAGCUUGAGCGGAAGCAGGCGGACAGGGCGCUGGCCGGGCCUUGCAGCAGAAGCAAACCACGCAUGCGGCUGCACGGGCGCUCGGUCACGCUAGAGGCCAGCGAGGCAGAGGAGAUCGAACGGGCUGUCGAAGAGCAGUUGCAGGGGAGGCAUGGCGGCGCAUGGUGGUGGCUGCGAGCUCCUACACAGGGGAAAGGAGAGGGCAGCUUGGUGGUGGUGCUGGUUGCCGACAUGGGCGACUCCAGUCGAGGCCAGGUGUUGGAGGAGCACGGCGCUGGCUUGGGGGAGCUCCUCUCCCGUUGGGCUCGUGCAUGA
rnacentral:rRNA from 1 species